GUACACGAGCCAAAAAUAUCAACAGGCGGAGCGUUCUUCUCUCUCUGGUUCUACAUCAUUCUGGGACUGAAGCUUUAUUCCUAUCAGGAAACAAACCACUGGUACCGUCAGGCUCAUUUAGACCAAGACCACAGCGGUUCUGUUGCACAAAACAACCCGAGUGACGCUCUGACUUUGAG